rnacentral:rRNA from 1 species
CCUACGGGGGGCUGCAGUGGGGAAUAUUGGACAAUGGGCGAAAGCCUGAUCCAGCCAUGCCGCGUGUGUGAAGAAGGCCUUCGGGUUGUAAAGCACUUUCAGUGGGGAAGAAAGCCUUGGGGCUAAUACCCUCGAGGAAGGACAUCACCCACAGAAGAAGCACCGGCUAACUCCGUGCCAGCAGCCGCGGUAAUACGGAGGGUGCGAGCGUUAAUCGGAAUUACUGGGCGUAAAGCGCGCGUAGGCGGUCUGAUAAGCCGGUUGUGAAAGCCCCGGGCUCAACCUGGGAACGGCAUCCGGAACUGUCAGGCUAGAGUGCAGGAGAGGGAGGUAGAAUUCCCGGUGUAGCGGUGAAAUGCGUAGAGAUCGGGAGGAAUACCAGUGGCGAAGGCGGCCUUCUGGAAUGACACUGACGCUGAGGUGCGAAAGCGUGGGUAGCAAACAGGAUUAGAUACCCUAGUAGUC